GAUGAAGAACGCAGCGAAAUGCGAUAAGUAAUGCGAAUUGCAGAAUUCCAGUGAGUCAUCGAAUCUUUGAACGCACAUUGCGCCCAUUGGUAUUCCGAUGGGCAUGCCUGUUCGAGCGUCAUUACAACCCUCAGGCCCCCGGGCCUGGCGUUGGGGAUCGGCGGAGCCCCCCGUGGGCACACGCCGUCCCCCAAAUGCAGUGGCGGUCCCGCCGCAGCUUCCAUCGCGUAGUAGCUAACACCUCGCGACUGGAGAGCGGCGCGGCCACGCCGUAAAACACCCAACUCUUCUGAAGUUGACCUCGAAUCAGGUAGGAAUACCCGCUGAACUUAAGCAUAUCAAUAAGCGGAGGA
rnacentral:misc_RNA from 1 species